GUGCCAGCAGCCGCGGUAAUACGUAGGGUGCAAGCGUUAUCCGGAAUUAUUGGGCGUAAAGAGCUCGUAGGCGGUUUGUCGCGUCUGCUGUGAAAACUAGAGGCUCAACCUCUAGUUUGCAGUGGGUACGGGCAGACUAGAGUGCGGUAGGGGAGAUUGGAAUUCCUGGUGUAGCGGUGGAAUGCGCAGAUAUCAGGAGGAACACCGAUGGCGAAGGCAGAUCUCUGGGCCGUAACUGACGCUGAGGAGCGAAAGAGUGGGGAGCAAACAGGCUUAGAUACCCUGGUAGUCCACUCCGUAAACGUUGGGAACUAGUUGUGGGGGCCUUUCUACGGUCCCCGUGACGCAGCUAACGCAUUAAGUUCCCCGCCUGGGGAGUACGGCCGCAAGGCUAAAACUCAAAGGAAUUGACGGGGACCCGCACAAGCGGCGGAGCAUGCGGAUUAAUUCGAUGCAACGCGAAGAACCUUACCAAGGCUUGACAUAUACCGGAAACGGCUGGAAACAGUCGCCCCCUUGUGGUCGGUAUACAGGUGGUGCAUGGUUGUCGUCAGCUCGUGUCGUGAGAUGUUGGGUUAAGUCCCGCAACGAGCGCAACCCUCGUUCUAUGUUGCCAGCACGUUAUGGUGGGAACUCAUGGAAUACUGCCGGGGUCAACUCGGAGGAAGGUGGGGAUGACGUCAAAUCAUCAUGCCCCUUAUGUCUUGGGCUUCACGCAUGCUACAAUGGCCGGUACAAUGGGCUGCGAUACCGUGAGGUGGAGCGAAUCCCAAAAAGCCGGUCCCAGUUCGGAUUGUAGUCUGCAACUCGACUACAUGAAGUCGGAGUCGCUAGUAAUCGCAGAUCAGCAACGCUGCGGUGAAUACGUUCCCGGGUCUUGUACACACCGCCCGU
rnacentral:rRNA from 1 species